rnacentral:rRNA from 1 species
UACAGGGGGUGCAAACGUUGCUCGGAAUUAUUGGGCGUAAAGCGCGCGUAGGCGGCUACUUAAGUCGGAUGUGAAAGCCCCUGGCUCAACUGGGGAAGUGCACCCGAAACUGAGUGGCUUGAGUGCGAAAGAGGGUCGCGGAAUUCCCGGUGUAGAGGUGAAAUUCGUAGAUAUCGGGAGGGACACCGGUGGCGAAGGCGGCGACCUGGGUCGACACUGACGCUGAGGCGCGAAAGCGUGGGGAGCAAACAGG